rnacentral:rRNA from 1 species
UACAGAGGGGGCAAGCGUUAUUCGGAAUUAUUGGGCGUAAAGGGCGCGUAGGCGGCUUGGCAAGUGGAUGGUGAAAUCCCUCGGCUUAACCGAGGAACUGCCGUCCAAACUGCUUCGCUUGAGACCGGGAGAGGUGAGUGGAAUUCCCAGUGUAGCGGUGAAAUGCGUAGAUAUUGGGAGGAACACCAGUGGCGAAGGCGGCUCACUGGACCGGUACUGACGCUGAAGCGCGAAAGCGUGGGGAGCAAACGGG